rnacentral:lncRNA from 1 species
CUUUUCCAACCUCCCCUUUUUCCAAGACUCCAAUCUCACCUUUAAAAAGGUAAUCCGAGGAUCAAAAAUAGAAAAGAAAAGAAAAGAAAAGAAAAGAGGAAAGAGAGAAAGAGGGGAGAAGAAAAAAUGAAGUCGGCUCCCUCUGCCCGAGGUAGCCAGGAGGCCUCCUGCAUGCCCGCAUGCAUGCCCGACAUCAAACCCCAUUCGAUCGAUGGCCCUGCACUCCUAUGUGUCAUUUGGAGAUGGUUCCCAAUAGAUCGGCUAUCACCGAAGUCCUGCACUGUCGUGCGGCUCCCAUGCUCCUUCGGCAUCAAACCUCAUCGGAUUGGUAGUCUCUCGAGCUCCCAUGCACCUCCCGUCGUCGGAUUGGUGGUCUUUCGAGCUUCCGCACACCUCUGACGUCAAACCCCACCGGAUCGAUGAUCUUUCGAGCUCCUGUGCACCUCUCGAUGCUAGCACAGCCGGAUCGAUGGCCUCUCGACGCUAAACCCCCAUAGAUCGAUCGUCCUUGGGCCUCUCACACUCCAUGCCUCCCAUCGUUGAGCUCCCCUAGAUCGACCAUCACCAGGGCCUCCUGCACUCCUCCAUGACUUCCGUCGUCGAUGACUCCCCAACUUCGAAUAAUUUUUCCACUGUACAUGCUGUCCCUCCUUUGCCUAAGGCUAACAUGCAUGUCCGACCUCGGACAAUGUUGAGGUUGCUUGUGGGCUCAACUAACUCGCACCUCAUUGUUGACUUCACAUCAAGUAGAGAUUGUUCGACCCCGUGCCUCUUACGUGCUGAGGUGGCUUGCGAGCAUCUCCGAAGCCCAGAUUGAGAUUGAUAAAAAAAGAGGAGGAAGAAGAAGAAGAAGAGGGGAGAGAG